rnacentral:lncRNA from 1 species
UGUGCCGAAAAGAGACGAGGAUCGCAAAACAAAUACAAGAGAAGGUGGAAGUGGAAGUGGAAGUCUCCGCAGCCAAAUGCUCAAAUAUUGGUGAAUCUUGUAAUAUGCAUGGUUGGUGCACAAAUUUGGCAGAAUAUCUAAUUAUUCCUUGAAUUUUGGUUCGUUUCAUUUUAUUGCAUGUAUAUAAUGUUUGUUAUUAUUUUUAAAAUGCGAUCGAAUUGGAUGGUCCAGAGAAGGAGAAUAUCUAAAUAUUACAGUACUUGGUACUUUAAUGUCAAAUAUUAGCUAGAGGUAAAAGGACUAAAAUUAAAUAUUGAAUAUAAUAAAGUAAUAAUCCUUCUAUGCUCUUUUCUUUACCCUAACGAUUAAACAUUUGCAUGCACUAUCAGCCAAAACUAAGGAGCCGAAAGUGCAGGUUUCUAUAUAGCAAGGUAGGCUCAAGCUAGCUAAGAUUGUGUUGUUGAGAAAAAAAGUCGUACAUAGCGAUCUAAGAGUUCCAUGUGGAAGGGCGCUAUCUCGCUCAAAGGGUCAAAUGUAAGAUAAGAUCCAAAGAUACAUGCUUUGACAUAUUUUUUUGUGAAAUUCAUUCCGUAAUAUAGUGAUCUAAGGGUGUGUUUGUUGCAUCGGACUAAAUCGGACUGGACUAGCUUUAGAGAUUAAGCUGG